rnacentral:rRNA from 1 species
GUCUACAGCCAUACCACCCUGAACGCGCCCAAUCUCGUCUGAUCUCGGAUGCUAAGCAGGGUUGGGCCUGGUUAGUACAUGGAUGGGAGAUUCUGGAAUUCCAUCUGUGGGCC